UUCUCGUUCCUAUAUAAUGGCGGUCUUCAACCUAUCUUCAUCAACAUUCCCCCUUAUUCCUUUUCAGUGAUGUACAUUCAAGGCCUCUUCCGAAUCAGCCUUUUAGGAUUGGUCCGUAUGUGAUCUGAUUUUGAGCAUCUGGAUCACGAGGAUACAUUCAUCUAGAACAAAACGGAUUUGCAGAAUCAGAGAGGAUGAAGAAAGCCAUACCUAUUGUUGCGUUGGUAAUAACUGCACAGCUUGGGACCUGGACUGUUAGUGGGAAGAUAUGCAGAAAUGAAGCUUGUCAACGACACCUAGGGUGAUUCAAUAGUUUGAAAUAAUUUUCAAAUAGAAUUAUACUUAAAGAAGGAUCGCAUUUGAAGUUGUACCUUGUACUUUUUCUAUAGUUCAACUUACAAUGAAAUUCCAUUAAUUUUGCUA